rnacentral:rRNA from 1 species
AGAGUUUGAUCCUGGCUCAGGAUGAACGCUAGCGGCAGGCUUAAUACAUGCAAGGCGAGGGGGCAGCAAUGUCACCGUCGUACGGGUGCGUAACGCGUAUGCAACCUACCUAUCACUGGGGGAUAGCCCGGGGAAACCCGGAUUAAUACCGCAUAACACAGGGGCUCCUCAUGGAGAUAUUUGUUAAAGAUUUAUCGGUGGUAGAUGGGCAUGCGUUCGAUUAGCUAGUUGGCAGGGUAACGGCCUACCAAGGCGACGAUCGAUAGGGGAGCUGAGAGGUUGAUCCCCCACACGGGCACUGAGAUACGGGCCCGACUCCUACGGGAGGCAGCAGUAGGGAAUAUUGGGCAAUGGAUGCAAGUCUGACCCAGCCAUGCCGCGUGCCGGAUGAAGGCCCUCAGGGUUGUAAACGGCUUUUAUUCGGGAAGAAGAGCAGGGAUGCGUCCUUGUGUGACGGUACCGAAUGAAUAAGCACCGGCUAACUCCGUGCCAGCAGCCGCGGUAAUACGGAGGGUGCGAGCGUUGUCCGGAUUUAUUGGGUUUAAAGGGUGCGUAGGUGGCUUUAUAAGUCAGUGGUGAAAUACAGCCGCUCAACGGUUGAGGUGCCAUUGAUACUGUAGAGCUUGAAACAAGUGGAGGCUGCCGGAAUGGAUGGUGUAGCGGUGAAAUGCAUAGAUAUCAUCCAGAACACCGAUUGCGAAGGCAGGUGACUACGUUUGAUUUGACACUGAGGCACGAAAGCAUGGGGAGCAAACAGGAUUAGAUACCCUGGUAGUCC